UUCAGAGAUAGAGGUUGCGUGUUUUAUUAGUACAUUCUUGGAUGCUGCAGCGGUACUUGAAGAGAAUGGAAAGGAAAAUGCGCCGAAAGGUUCGGAAGCAGCUGCAUUCCGGAUUCUUGGGCAUACAUCUAACAGGUGUAUGACUGUCAUCAGUAAUGAUGGGGCGCUAUCCGAUAA
rfam:Butyrivibrio fibrisolvens DSM 3071 genome assembly, contig: EJ22DRAFT_scaffold00026.26